rnacentral:rRNA from 1 species
UGCAAGUCGAACGGUAACAGGAAACAGCUUGCUGUUUCGCUGACGAGUGGCGGACGGGUGAGUAAUGUCUGGGAAACUGCCUGAUGGAGGGGGAUAACUACUGGAAACGGUAGCUAAUACCGCAUAACGUCGCAAGACCAAAGAGGGGGACCUUCGGGCCUCUUGCCAUCGGAUGUGCCCAGAUGGGAUUAGCUUGUUGGUGGGGUAACGGCUCACCAAGGCGACGAUCCCUAGCUGGUCUGAGAGGAUGACCAGCCACACUGGAACUGAGACACGGUCCAGACUCCUACGGGAGGCAGCAGUGGGGAAUAUUGCACAAUGGGCGCAAGCCUGAUGCAGCCAUGCCGCGUGCAUGAAGAAGGCCUUCGGGUUGUAAAGUACUUUCAGCGGGGAGGAAGGGAGUAAAGUUAAUACCUUUGCUCAUUGACGUUACCCGCAGAAGAAGCACCGGCUAACUCCGUGCCAGCAGCCGCGGUAAUACGGAGGGUGCAAGCGUUAAUCGGAAUUACUGGGCGUAAAGCGCACGCAGGCGGUUUGUUAAGUCAGAUGUGAAAUCCCCGGGCUCAACCUGGGAACUGCAUCUGAUACUGGCAAGCUUGAGUCUCGUAGAGGGGGGUAGAAUUCCAGGUGUAGCGGUGAAAUGCGUAGAGAUCUGGAGGAAUACCGGUGGCGAAGGCGGCCCCCUGGACGAAGACUGACGCUCAGGUGCGAAAGCGUGGGGAGCAAACAGG